GACAAACGCUGGCGGCGUGCCUAACACAUGCAAGUCGAGCGAUGAAAUCCCUUUGGGGAUGGAUUAGCGGCGGACGGGUGAGUAACACGAGGGUAACCUGCCUCAAAGAGGGGGAUAGCCUCCCGAAAGGGAGAUUGAUACCGCAUAACAUUAGUUUUUCGCAUGGAGAACUAAUUAAAGGAGUAAUCCGCUUUGAGAUGGACCCGCGGCGCAUUAGCUAGUUGGUGAGGUAAAGGCUCACCAAGGCGACGAUGCGUAGCCGACCUGAGAGGGUGAUCGGCCACAUUGGAACCGAGACACGGUCCAGACUCCUACGGGAGGCAGCAGUGGGGAAUAUUGCACAAUGGGCGAAAGCCUGAUGCAGCAACGCCGCGUGAGUGAUGAAGGCCUUCGGGUUGUAAAGCUCUGUCUUUUGGGACGAUAAUGACGGUACCAAAGGAGGAAGCCACGGCUAACUACGUGCCAGCCGCCGCAGUAA
rnacentral:rRNA from 1 species